rnacentral:rRNA from 1 species
AAUGCUGACAUAAGUAACGAUAAAGCGGGUGAAAAGCCCGCUCGCCGGAAGACCAAGGGUUCCUGUCCAACGUUAAUCGGGGCAGGGUGAGUCGACCCCUAAGGCGAGGCCGAAAGGCGUAGUCGAUGGGAAACAGGUUAAUAUUCCUGUACUUGGUGUUACUGCGAAGGGGGGACGGAGAAGGCUAUGUUGGCCGGGCGACGGUUGUCCCGGUUUAAGCGUGUAGGCUGGUUUUCCAGGCAAAUCCGGAAAAUCAAGGCUGAGGCGUGAUGACGAGGCACUACGGUGCUGAAGCAACAAAUGCCCUGCUUCCAGGAAAAGCCUCUAAGCAUCAGGUAACAUCAAAUCGUACCCCAAACCGACACAGGUGGUCAGGUAGAGAAUACCAAGGCGCUUGAGAGAACUCGGGUGAAGGAACUAGGCAAAAUGGUGCCGUAACUUCGGGAGAA